rnacentral:rRNA from 1 species
AUUGAACGCUGGCGGCAUGCCUUACACAUGCAAGUCGAACGGCAGCACGGGAGCUUGCUCCUGGUGGCGAGUGGCGAACGGGUGAGUAAUACAUCGGAACGUACCCUGAAGUGGGGGAUAACGUAGCGAAAGUUACGCUAAUACCGCAUAUUCUGUGAGCAGGAAAGAGGGGGAUCGCAAGACCUCUUGCUUUUAGGAGCGGCUGAUGUCGGAUUAGCUAGUUGGUGAGGUAAAGGGCUCACCAAGGCGACGAUCCGUAGCGGGUCUGAGAGGAUGAUCCGCCACACUGGGACUGAGACACGGCCCAGACUCCUACGGGAGGCAGCAGUGGGGAAUUUUGGGACAAUGGGCGCAAGCCUGAUCCAGCCAUGCCGCGUGAGUGAAGAAGGCCU